AAAAGAGGAGGGCGCACGCGAUCCCACGUGCUCUCGCCAACGCGGAUUCGAUGCUCUUCUGUUCAUUUUCUAUCCACUGUUUCCAGCACCGCAGAGGCAGUGAAGACGGACCGCAUAGCGUACACACGCACUGCCCUCCACCCUUGCUGGAAAACAUGUCUGUGCACAUAGUAUUUCCCCCUUUUCACACCUUUUAAUUUUUGGUUUUCCAUUUUCUGACGCGUUCCUGCUUCCUGUUUUCUGAACCACAAUGACGCUUCUCAGCUUUGACUUCAAUUUUUUUAUGACUAAAAGCACUGGGAAAAUGAGAGGGGACCGUUAAAGGUUUAAUUGCUGCUCUAUUUUUCAUCGUCAUCGGCUGUUCAUCCGUUUUUUUCCCCUCAUUUUGUACAUUUAUUCCUUGCACUUCAUGCAAAUCCGGGGGACUAUGUGAACAUCAUGCUGGCGCUGCGAUGCCUGGUGUUUGCUGCAGUGAGUGCACGGUUUGCCGUGACAGGCUGGAGCAGCUCCGUGAUGCGGGAUGCGGUUGUGUGGGAACGGGCAGCACCGGAGCAACGAGGAGAGCGCAGCGGGGCUGUGGAGGAAAUCAUCAAGCCCAAACGGCUGGUACAGCAGAUCGACUCGGAGGGAGAGAUCGUACAUGGCCAUCUGGACACCCGGGUGAAGAACCACUCCGAGGGCGCACAACCUGUCCAUUUGGCUCAAAGCAGUUUUCUGAUCGAGGCCUUUGGCAGCUCCUUCGUCCUGGACCUGGAGUUAAACCACAACCUCCUUUCCUCCGACUACGUGGAGCGGCACUUUGACGAGGACGGGAAGCCCUUGCAGACUGUGGGAGGUGAGCAUUGCUAUUAUCAUGGGAAGGUUCGAGAUGUGCCCGGUUCCUGGGUUGCUCUUUCCACCUGUCACGGCCUGAGAGGAAUGUUUUCUGAUGGGAAUUUCUCCUACGGGAUUGAGCCAGUUCUGGAAGACAGUGACAAGGAAGAGGAGGCGCAUUUGGUGCGCAGGAUGCCCAAGCUGGAGCUGGCCCCACUGUGUCCAGGCUGCAAGCAGAACAGCAGUGACAGUAACGCUGACACCGAUGGCGGGAACGGCAGCGAUGGCGACAGUGACAUCUUCUUUCAACUGGAAGAGGAACCUGCCUUCGCCGAGGGGCUGCGCCGUUCAAAGAGACAGGUGCGCCGGAACCAGCAUACUGUCCAGAGUGAGACCAAGUAUAUUGAGCUGAUGGUGGUCAAUGACCAUGAGUUGUAUUUGCAUAUGAGAAAAUCAGCCUCCCAGACCAGGAACUUUGCCAAAGCUGUGGUCAACAUGGCAGAUGCGAUCUACAAGGAACAGCUGAACACCAGGAUCGUUCUGGUUGCCAUGGAAACGUGGUCAUCACAGAACAUGGUCUCCGUUGGUGAUGACCCCCUGCUGACCCUGCGUGACUUCAUGAAAUACAGGAAAGAAAACAUAAAGGAACACAGCGAUACAGCACACCUCCUCUCGGGACGCACCUUCCAGAGCAGCCGCAGCGGGACGGCCUACAUUGGGGGCAUCUGCUCUCUCACUCGGGGAGGCGGAGUCAAUGAGUACGGGAACGUGGGUCCGAUGGCCAUCACGCUGUGCCAGAGCCUGGGUCAGAACAUCGGCAUGAUGUGGAACAAGGAACGCACAGCAGCAGGGGACUGUAAAUGCCCGGACCCUUGGUUGGGUUGUAUCAUGGAGGACACAGGAUUCUACCUACCCCGGAAGUUUGCUCGCUGCAGCGUGGACGAGUACAUCCGCUUCCUGCAGGCAGGAGGCGGCAGCUGCCUCUUCAACAAGCCCAAUAAGCUAUUGGACCCUCCGGAGUGUGGGAAUGGUUUUGUGGAGACUGGCGAGGAGUGCGACUGUGGAUCGCAAGUGGAGUGUUUGCGGAGCGGGGGCGCGUGCUGUAAGAAGUGCACUCUGACUCACGACGCCAUGUGCAGCAACGGACUGUGCUGUCGGGGCUGCAUGUACGAGCUGAGGGGAGUGGUGUGCCGGGAAGCUGUGAAUGACUGUGACAUAGCAGAGACCUGCACUGGAGACUCCAGCCAGUGCCCUCACAAUGUCCACAAGUUGGAUGGGUACACAUGUGACAACAGUCAGGGCCGGUGUUACGGAGGUCGCUGUAAAACUCGAGACAGACAGUGCAUGGGGCUCUGGGGCCAUCGUUCAGCGGACCGUUUCUGUUAUGAGAAGCUGAACACCGAGGGCACAGAGAAGGGAAACUGUGGGCAUGAUGCCGGCGGGCAGGGCUGGGUGCAGUGCAGCAAGCAGGAUGUUUUGUGCGGGUUCCUGCUCUGCGCUAACAUGUCAGCGAAACCAAAGUUUGGGGAUCUGCAGGGUGAGGUGACCAGCCUUACCAUCUACCACCAGAACAAGUACCUGGACUGUCGUGGUGGCCACGCCCUGUUGGAGGACGGCUCGGACCUGGGCUAUGUGGAAGACGGCACUCCCUGUGGGCCCAACAUGAUGUGCCUGGACCACCGCUGCCUCCCUCUAGCCACCUUCAACCUCAGCGCCUGCCCGGGCACGCCCCCCCUCUCCACCUGUUCACACCACGGGACGUGCAGUAAUGAAGUGAAGUGUAUCUGUGACCGGGACUACACAGGGAAAGACUGCAGUAUCAGGGACCCCAUUCCUGACCCCAAACCCCCAGAAGACCCUAUAUCUAAGGUCUGCCAAUGAAACAAGGCAUUUUGGCAAUUUACUUGCACAGAGCACGUUCUCUCCCCAAUCAAGAGGGUGUCCAGCAGAGAGAAAGAGAAAGAGGGGGAGAGACAGGCAGAAAAACAUCCGAAGAGGAAGGUAUGAUCCCGCUCGGCAUGCAAUGAUGUGAAGUUCUCCUGCACCAUUGCCUGAUAACUUUCCCCCACUGCAUACCACUAUCUCGCUCAAUAAUCCAUGUUAAAUAUCCAUGCAAGUUAGCACUUGCUUUCCAUUCAAUACCUUUCUGAUCCUCAAUGUGGUACAGCGUCCACUGUCACAUUCAUACAUUUUUGGCCUCACAUUAUGAAAUGGUGGUGUUAGGUGGACAAAUAAACGGCCAUCAUGGUUCUUUGCUCUGAAAUGCACUGAAGCCUCCAUCCCAGAUCAUCGCUCAUCUACCUGCCAUUGCCUCAUCUCCGUGGCAACAACUGCCAAGCAGCUGAUCCUGUUCCAUCUGUUCUCAGAAUCAUCACCAAUGUGCCUCUCAUGUUUAUAUGUAUGCAGUUUAGAAUGUUUUAAUCUUUGAAAUAUCUGUUUUUGAAAGAGAUUUAUAUAUAAAAUAUAAUACUUUAUAUUUAAAUAUAACUUUCUACACUAUAAUAUAUAUUGUUUAUAAAGUUCUACAAUGUUUUUCUGAUAAGAAUUGUAUUUUCUACUUAUCAAUGUGUUUAUCUCAAUAAUUAACAGAGUUAGAGAAAACUCCCCAUGUUAAAGCUCAGUGGGAAGACAACAUACAUUAAUACAUCAUUACAGCACAAAAAUAGGAUCUAAGGUUAUGCACUAAUUUGUUUGAAUGUUUACUUAGACAUUUGGAAAGACGGAAAAUAUUUAUGUGCAUAAUGAUGCAAGUGGUCUUGUUACACACAUUUUGCAUGUCAAAACAAGUACUUAUAAAAAUUUGAAAAUAGAGGUUUUCUGUCACCGUAAUAUUAUAUUUUUAAUAAAAUGAACUUGUUAAAAACCCCAUGUAUAUCAGUUUCAUAUGAAGCCUUUUUUAUGCCACAGUCCGAGCUGAUUGAAAGGCAUUUAUUUGAGCAGCAAAAAAAAAAAAAAAUUCAUGUAAGUGUAAAUAAAUUGUGAGUCUCAACAUGUAGUUUUAUUUUUUACUUUGAAUUAGUGGAAUUACAAUGAAGUGCUAAAUGACAAAUGUUACAAAAUAGGGUUUGGACUACAUGGAUUUUACUCAAUUAUAUGCAAAUUAUAGAGUUCAGGGUGUGAUCAUUUAUGGGCUUUGCAUGAAAACUAAUACCAAAAUUGUCUUUGGGCUUCACCUUGCUUAAUCCCACCAUUCUGCUCUUUAUCUCUUCUGUUGUUUUCUCAGGUUAUGCUUCUCAUUUCAAUUCUUUUUCCUCUUCUCU